UGGGUUGGGAUUCUUUAUCCGCAUGGUCGACUGGAUUGACCAAGGAGCAUUUUGAUGGGGAGGUGGCUGGCAGACGGAAAAGUGGAGACGACACAUCUCAAUCUUCAGUCAUCUCUGGUCUGCAAGAGAUUGAAGAUAGAAUAAAGGAACUGGAGGAAGAGAACCGGAAAAGUAAGCGGUUUGUGGAUGGAUGGGGAGAGAGAUUAAAAGAGGUAAGUGCACUUUUGAAGCAAGUGCGUGAGCCGGGUGCAAGGGGGUCUUAUCUCAAGGACUCAGAAAAGGCUGAGAUGUAUCGGUUGCACAAGGAAAAUCCUGAGGUUUACACUGUUGAGCGGCUGGCCAAGGAUUAUAGAAUUAUGAGGCAGAGAGUGCAUGCCAUUCUUUGGCUCAAGGAGCUGGAGGAAGAAGAGGAAAAAAAGCUUGGUCGUCCUUUAGAUGAUUCUGUUGAGCUCCUGCUUGACACCUGUCCUGAGUAAGAUAUCAAUUUGGAAGCAUUACUUCUUUGACAGUAAAGGUUUCUUGAUGUGUUAAUUGUAGUUGCAAUUAUCUUUAUUAGUAUUUCACUUCUGCUUUAUGCAUUGGCUAGUGGUGCAUAGCUGAUUUAAUAGCCACCUUGUAUUUCUCAUAGUGCCCGAAUAUUUUCCUCUUUUCAGAUUUUUCAAUUCUCAUGACCGUGAAUUCCAUGUCGCUUCCCUUCCUUACAAACCUGACUUCAAGGUUAUGCCAGAGGGUUGGGAUGGUACCACCAGAGAUUUGGACGAAGUCCACUAUGAGAUCUCCAUGAAAGAAGAUGAAAUGCUUUAUCAAGAAUUUGUCCAGAGGAUGAACUUCAACAAAAAGAAAGUAAGUUCCAUAAGCCUCACAUUUCCAUGAGAGAGAGAGAGUCCAACGUUGAAAAUAAUAAAAAAAAAUUUAGCUAGUUCUGUAUUACAAAGUAUUACUGCUAUAUUUGUCGAGUCUUAAGUGACAGAUUAGGUGAGUCUUAACUGGUGAUGUUGGUUGACAAUUAGGUAACUGAAGUUAAGUGCCAUGCCCAGUUGGGUCUUUACAGCUUUUGAUUGUUUACCGUAUGGGUUUGCCUGUGGUUCCACUUUCUGGUUAUUGGAGUUGAAUUUAGUGGGAUAUUGGUUGAGUCUUAACUGAUGAUGUGGGUUGACAGAUAAGGUGAUUGAAGUUUAAAUGCCAUGUGUGAUUGGAUGUUUGCAGCUUUUGAUUGUUUGUGCUGUGGAUUUGUCUAUGAUUCCACUUUCUGGUUCUUAGGAGAUGAAUUUAGUGGGAUAUUGGUUAUCAAGUGAGUACGGGGUGGUAUUUUGCCAAACAGAAAAGAAUGGCCACUGGUAAGGUAAAGGAGCUUGGGAAUUUUUGGACACUCUGGUUCUAUUGACUCGCCAAAUGUGGGGUGGUAUUUUGCCAAACAGAAAAGAAUGGCCACUGGUAAGGUAAAGGAGCAGGGGAAUUUUUGGACACUCAGGUUCUAUUGACUCGCCAAAUGAAAGAGGCUGUGCUGCUUGUCUUUGCUCCACUUUCUUUGCCAUUAAAGACUGGUGUUGAUAACCAAGGUUUUGCAUAGGGUGAUUCGAGUCUUUUUUUUUUCUCUGUCUACGUUCUGCCCACUGAGCUGCAGAUUGACUCUGCAGUUUUGUAAUGUACCUCCAUAUUUUCUGUUCACGCUUUCUUUGGCCCUUUAACUGAUGGUUUCACUUGUGUGUAGAUGAAAGGGGAGGUUUUCUGCCACAAGCAUAGUCGUCGUCGUACUUCGGAUGGGUGGAACUUUACAGUGGAGAAACUAGGACCCAGAGGAAAGCGUGGAGGUGGUGGUGGCUGGAAGUUUGUAAGCCUGCCAGAUGGUUCCAGCCGACCGCUGAAUGAAAUGGAGAAAAUGUACGUGAAGCGAGAAACACCCCGCCGCAGACGCAAGAUCCUUCCCUGAUGAUGAAGUCUUUUGUUAUUGAGUUAGAUGUUACUUAUAAGAAUAUUUGUAGUAGUUGCAAAUUGUGUGUUCUGCUCCAUCUGCAUUUCUACCAUUGUUAAUCAUAGACCUUUUUCUCAGAUUUUUGUCAUUGUAUCUUUUGCUUAGGUUUAUGGUUCAGCAACCUCUUUCCUUCCCACUACAACUGAUUCACUAAUAAUAAUCACGGAGCGAUAUCUUUAGAGCAACUCCAACCGAUAUGUUAAAAGUGCCAUAUAGACAUUUAACGGCUAGAAAUAAUAUCUUACAUUAUUCUAACCGAUGUGUCAAAGCUGAUGUGGAUUGAAGGUUGAAGGUUGAGAUGUUAUUUUUGACAUUUCAAAAGUAAGAUGUCAAAUUAAUAUUUUAUUAUUAUUUUUCUUUUCUUUUUAAUUAAAAAUAAAUCAACACUAAAAUGUAAUAAAAUAAUAAUUUAAUUUGACAUAUCGGGUGGAGUGUAAAGUUAUGUAAGAUGUAAAAUUGCCACAUCAACUAUCAAAUUUAAAUUUAAUGUUUGAUAUUUGACAUCUCCUUUAGAGAUGCUCUAUAUAUCAAAAAGUUUGAUGUCAAAUAUUAUUUUAAUAUUUUCUUUUUAGUCAUGAACCUUACUAUCAUUUAUUAUUUUAAAAAUUUCUGCAUCAUAUGGGCCUUAUUUAUUUUUAAAAAUAUAAUAAAAAUAUAUGAUAUUUGGGAUUUCGAGUGGAGUUUUAAAUUUUUUCUAAAACUUCAAAUUGUCACAUAAGCCAUCAAAUUCAAAUUUAACAUUUUGCAUUUCACAUCUCCCUCGAAGAUACUCUAACUAAUUACAUUACUUUUAACUCUUAUUGAUAGCCAAGUUUACUGUGGUUGUGUUAACCUAUAAAUAACUUGAUUUUUCUAGACUCUCUCUCAUCACCUCUCUUUCCUCUGUUUUUUUUUUUGUUUUUUUUAUUUUUAAAAUCAUGAGUCCGUCACAUGUAAAACACUUGUAGCUCAAUAUCAUGUUAGUAGCCGUUGGUUGAUCUAAAUGUUAAUUAUUCGAAAAGUAAAUAUUAUUUUAUAAAAUAUAAUUAUUUUUCUUUUUCGGACAAAUAAUAGAAUAUAUACAAGAUACUUUUAUUAUGGGGCCAAUACAUCCGCAACAAAACUACACCUUACAUGGGGUUAGUCACAACUAAAUAUCGAACUUAUCACAAAUUUAUAUAUCAUCAUCGCUAUCCAUAUAAGUCAAACUAAGACCUAUUACCAUCAAGUGGAACAAUAUACCACUAGACUAAAAAUUUAGUUGGUUAAAAAAAAAACAUUAUUUGACUCGGAUAUCUUUUAUCAUGCUUAAUGAAAUUCCAAAUUUAUUCUAUACACAAAUAAAAAAUAUACAAGCAGCGAUAGUUUGCCGCGCUCAGCUUGUUAAAUAUCAAUUGUUACAAUUAAUUAUCAAUUAAAGAUUAGCAUAAACUACGAUAGUAAAAAACAAUAAGAUUCUUUAAUAUUACUUUCGUUGAGUUUAACCUGCACAAAUCACCCAAUUAGUUACCACCAUUCCCGCCAUGAAAGUGAUGACUAUUGAAGGGAAAAAAAAGUGACAUUGGGAUAAAUCAGAUCAGAUAGCAUAGAUGAUACAUCUUUAUGAGGAAAAAAAAAAGUUGGACUUUUUCUUCUUUUUUUAUAUAUUAUUUUCCUACCUUUCUUCUGUACAUGCGUACUGUAGAGAGAGAGAGAAGCACCAACAGGCACCGAAAUAACAGAAAAAAGCAACAUGGUCAUUUUGUAGAGCAACCAUGAACAACAAGAGCAAUCAAAGCUCCGACAGAGAAGAAAAUCAGUCGAAGAAAGAAAAUCCUAUCUCAACCCUCGAUUCAAGAUUCAACCAAACCCUCAGAAAUGUUCAAGGGUACCAAUCCAGUUCCUUGCGUAUAUAUGAUUUUUGUUAAUUUCUCAUUUCUUAUUGAUAUUUGCUUGUGAUUUUCCUCAGAUUUGAAAACCCAUUCAGGAAAAGUUUCUAUCUUUCCAAUCAACUAUUAAACUGUCACUAAUUAGAAUGCCGUUUCUCACUCGUUAAUGGCUCCAAUUCAUUACAUUGAGGAUUUGACUUGGUCCUAACACGUAAAGUAUAGCUUUUGAUUUUUCAAAUUGUGAGAGUUGGUUGAGAAAAGGAUUAUGGGAUUUUUUGGUUUCGAUAUAUUAGAUCAGAAUCAGUGAGAAAAGUAGUGUGAUUUGGGAGAUCUCUGUUCUUAAAUUGGAUAAAUUCAUUCAUGCUCCGUUCUUUUUGGUUGGUGGGAAAAUGUGGCAACACAGAAGCAAUCAGACCAUUUUAAUUUAGAGUGAAUAUGUGAUUCAUAGUUCUGAUCUGUUGCUUCUGCUUAGUUUACUCGGCCACCGAUUUUGUAAGAUUGACCUCAAAUUGAUGUCACAUACCGGAAAAUUGGUGGGGAUUACAUUCUGACUUUUACUGGAUUUAUUUUCUUGAUUCAAGCAUUUGCUAAUUUGUCUUAGAUUCGUAGUGUAAAAUAGUUUGGUUCAUUAUAUGUAAUAAUCAUAAGUAUGGUGAAAAUUCUGGUAUAUUAUUGCCAUUAAUAUUAUCCAAAUCUGGCAAAUUGUAGAUAUAAUUGCAUUUGGUAUUAAAAUGCCCUUGUUGUGCUUAUCAAAUUGAUAAGAACAUUGCAUUAGAUUUUCUAAGCCUUCUAAGUUAUAAAAACAUGACUCCUUUCCAUUGUUUCAUUAUAUAAUUUUCUAUCUGAUAUCUCUAGUGUCUGGAAUCCUAGCAGUUUGUGAUGAAAGCUAAAUGUUGUUCUAAACAAAUCAAACGUAUUGUUUGUCAAAUUAGUUCAAUAUCUUAUUAUUUAUGUUUUGAUUAUAUUUUUCUGAUAUCUAGGUUGCUCAAAGGUCGUAGUAUGCCUGGUAAAGUAUUACUAACCAGGAGAUCAAAUGUGCUAGAUCAUUCAAAAUUACAAGAACCCUCACUCAAUUAUGGAAGGAGCUUCUCAUUCAAUGAUGCUGAUACAAGUGAUCACAUAGCCAAGGCGUUAGAGGUUUAUUUUGAUAUCCUUUUUGUCUAAUAAAUUUGAAAAGAACAUACCAUUUGCCAUAGUUGAUUGGCUGGAAAUUCUACUAAUACUUUUACUUCUAAAAUAGGAAGAAGUUGAAAGCCUAAGCAAUCCCAACAAUAAUGCAAAUUCAAAUAAGUUAAAAUCAUCAACUUCGAAUGUUGAGAAUCUUUCCAAAGGAGCUCAAAAAUCCGUCAUGGGAGCUAGAGCUACGGAUUCUACAAGAGUUAUGAAGUUCACAAAGGUCCUUUCAGGGACAACAGUCAUAUUAGGUAUAAGGACUCUCUCUUUAAACUUCCCCCCUUUCCCCUGCUUUUCUUCUCUCCCGCCACUAUAUUCAUGAAGGUUAUAUAAAGGUAAAAUGUGUUUUUUUUUCUCAGUAUGUUCUGAUGGUGCUUCGAUGAUUUCUUAGAAUCUGUUAAUAUCCUCUUAUUUCAUUCCAUCCAUGCAAACCCUAUAGCCAUACACUACAACUCCACAUGAGUUCUUGUUUUUCCCCUCCAAAAGGAUAGUGCUUCUCAGAAACCAUAAAAAUGCAUGGCCAAGCUUCCAUGAACAUUUUGUGCCAAAGCUUUAAAGAAGCAGAGCAAUGGAGAAAAAAGGGUCAAUAUUUCAGCCUCCCCUUUGCACAUAAUACACCCAUGAGGAGAUAGAUUAACUUUAGGUCUCUUUUGAACCACAAGUAUUUACUCUACCACGAGCAAUAAUCUAAAGAAUAUUUUUACACAGUACUUUUGCCCCUCCAAAUCAUAUGAUAGGGGUUGAAAAGGGGGAGAGAUGACUCAUCAAUCAACCUAUGUAAAAUAACAACUAAAAUGCCCAAAGACUUAAGAGUCCAAUUCUAUCUAGUGUUAAAACUGCUAAUGAAAUCUAAUGAAAAAUUCUCAAUCAAAGAGAGUCUUGAACGAAGCUGCAAAUUUCUAUAGAGAUCUCCAGCUUUAUGGAAAGGAGACAUAAGACUUAUUGGCAAUUGAUACAUUAUGAGAGUUGGGUAGUCUAUAAAGACACGGAAAAUUUGCACACAGGAGACUCCCUGCUAUGCACGGGACCUCCCAAAACCUAAUCUGUCCCUAGUCCCCAGUACUACACGGAGAUAAGGAGAGAACAAAAUGAUACCCUGGCAUAUUGUUUGUUGCGUUUUAGCUUCACAAUGUUGUACAGUCCUAUCAUCAUGAUUAGUGGGCAUCCUUAUGAUGUUAAAUCUAAAUUUCACACUUGUUAUUGUUACUGGUAUGCAGAAGCAUUUCAUUCUGGCAGCUUAGGCCACUAUUUUGAUUAAUCUGUUACCUUUACAAAUUUCCUUUUAGCACUAAUUGAGCUGUGGAUAUAUAUUUUUGUUUCCUUCUUUUUCGAAUUUUUGUUUCCUUCUUUUUUGAAUUUAGUCUUUAAUUGUUUAUGUAGAGAAGUUGCAUGAGUUGGCUUGGAGUGGGGUACCACCAUAUAUGCGGCCAGAUGUAUGGAGGCUUCUUUUGGUAAGCUCGCUGCCUCUAUAUUAAUGACAUAGAAGCUGCAAGGUCCUCCUUGUGUCCCACUUUCUUUAUUUACCUUGUCUUUUCCUUUUGUAUUCUGUAUUUCUUUUCAUUGCAAGUUUAAAACGUUUGAUGCAUGCAGUUGGGUUAUAGGUGUCUAGUUCAUUCAGUGGUGUCCAAUGUUCAGCCCAUGCUUUGAACUUGAAGUUUUAUGCAUGUGUUACUUUGUUAUAUCACUUUUCGUUUUAACUUCUUUCUUUCUUGUGAAUUUUUUUUUUCUCUAUAAUUGGAGUGGAAGUUCUGAAGUAUGUAUUUGAAGAUAGCAUUAUGUCUUAGAAAAGGGGUUCACUUUAUUUGCCUUUUUGUUAACCUGGAUUGCCUUUAUCUAGUAAACAUUGUGGCUUUUUUGAAUUUAAAAUAUGAACUGACAACAGGGAUAUGCACCAUCUAAUUCAGAUAGAAGGGAGGGAGUUCUAAGAAGGAAACGCCUUGAGUAUCUUGACUGUGCUUCUCAGUACUAUGACAUUCCGGAUACUGAGCGGUCAGAAGAUGAGAUAAAUAUGCUUCGCCAGGUGUUUUAAAUGUUAAAAAAGCUCCCAUCUUUCUUAGUUCUAAUAUGUGGCUCCUGGUUUUUACAAUUACCUUUGUUGUCCUUAUUAGAUUGCUGUUGAUUGCCCAAGAACUGUGCCAGAUGUAUCUUUCUUUCAGCAAGAGCAAGUCCAAAAAUCCUUGGAGCGCAUCCUUUACACAUGGUUAAUACUACAUUUGCCCAUAUAUUCUUGGUCAUUGCUGUAUUUUUUGUAACAUCGAAUGUGUUCAUACAAGGAAAAGAGAAAUGAUUGCAUGAAGUGUUACUGAUUGUGCUAAGUUGCAUCUAUUUGGUCUGCUGAUUCCUAAUAACGAAAGUGUAAAAUCUGCAACUGAUUUAAAGGCGUAUGAUUUAUUAAUCUAGGAAUUCCAGUCCAUUUAUCUUUGUUAUAGGGUUCAUCUAAGGGGCUUUGGUUCAUUACACAUGUUGAUUAUCUUGAAAUGACAGCAUGGAACAGUUAUACAAUUUUUUUUUUUCUUCUACAUUUUGUCCUGUUUAGAGAUUUAGAGGUUCGCUAUUACUAAUCAGACAUGAAUGAGAAUUUCUGUCUUUGCCCUAUUGGUUUUCCCAAAGUAGGUCUAGCUCUGAACUGUCUGAGAUAGUAUGUCAAGUUGAUAGUGAGUUGUUUAAGUUAAUAUGUACAUGUUCUCUCUACACUAUCUUUAGGUAGGUUUAAUGUUCUUGACAUUGUGCAUUUAGAGGGCUGGCAUGGGGCAUGAUUCUCAUAUUGUAAUUGUCACUUAACUAUACAUGUUUGCUACAUUUCCGCUGCUAUUUAGUCAUUUUAAUCAGGAUGUUUAAAGAGCCUAGGUUUAUUUCAUGGGGUUUUCAUGGUAGGUCUCUAUGUAGAUGUGGACCAAGCAGGGAGAAAUAGUGAGUAGUGACAAAAGCUCUUCUAUACGCAUAACUUGCCUCAGUUAUGUGACGCUUCCUUUUUCUUCCCUCUUCUUCCUCUAAUUGAGAAAUUUAGCCUAUCAGAUGCAGAUAACAAUUCCUGGUACCUUGAUAGCGUGAAUUGUUUCUAUUUUAUUUUCUGAGCAGUUUUUGGAGUCCAACAGUUUAGCUUCAAAACAAAAAAAAAAAAAAAAAAAACUGGUCUAGAUGUGGAGUAUGGUUUCAAGAUGCCAUCAUUUUAUUAUUUUUUCUUUUUCUUUAAUUAUUUGAUUUUUAUGAUUAUUAGUUAUGUCUUUUCAAGUUACUUCUCAUGUAUUUCAGGGCCAUUCGACAUCCUGCAAGUGGAUAUGUUCAGGGAAUAAAUGAUCUUGUUACUCCCUUUCUAGUUGUUUUCUUGUCCGAAUACUUAGAUGGGAGUGUGGAUAAUUGGUCGAUCUCCGAUUUAUCUCCUGAUAAAAUAUCUAAUAUAGAGGCUGAUUGCUAUUGGUGCCUAUCAAAUUUACUAGAAGGUAUGCAAGACCAUUACACUUUUGCUCAGCCGGGAAUCCAGAGGCUUGUGUUUAAGCUAAAGGAAGUGGUCAGGCGGAUUGAUGGUAACUCCCAUUUUUUGCUUUUAUUUUCUGCUUCUUGCACGCUUUUUACUGGAUCAAGUGAAUCAACCGAUGCUUCUACGCUUGUAUAUGUACUUAUAAGCUUCAUUUUGGUUAAUUUUGCUAGACCUAUUUUGAAUAGGGAAGUCUAUUUUUGGCUGUCUCUUCUAUUAUGUGUGGGGUUGGCUGAGAUGUGGGAUAGAGUGAAGUUUUGGGCGGCGUUAUGGGCUUCGGUUACUCCUGUUUUUAAGGAUUUGGCUGUCUCUUCUAUUAUGCGAGAUUUGUUAGCGGUUGUGAAGUGAUAUGUUGCUAUUUUCUCUUUUCCUGGGUGGCCUCCUUGUUUGUUCUUGUCCUUCUUUCCUUUGUUUGUUUUGGUCUUGAGAUUGCUGUUUUCUUUUGUUUUGCUCUUGUGGAUUCCUUAUCCACUUGCUUGUUUCUUUGUUUAUCUCUUUUGAAUUUAUAAAGUUUCUAUUCAAUAAAUAAAUAAAUAGGGAAGUCUACUCUGGCGUAAUUUUCAUUAUGGAAAUCUCUUUGCUUUUCUGUAUGUAUAUUUGGACUUAUACACAGCCACCAAGAGAUACAAAUGGCAUGGCUUCACAUAUGGCUUUGGCCGGGCUAAAGAAUGGAAUGUUUUAAGCAUGUAGAAACAGAUCAAAGGAAGUUUAUAUUUGUAGUGUUAAUUCAGAAACACUAUAAUAAAAGAAAAGAAAUAUGCUUCAUAUAAUUUCCCCAAAAAGAAAAUGCUUCAAAUAUUAUAAUGAAAAAUCAAAUAGAUUGUUCGUUAUAUUAGGCGCACUGGGGCAUUUUCAGUUUUUCUGAAUCUCAUGAUGCAAUAAAAUGUUGUUGCGCAUCAUAUUAUAGUGAGAGUUUGUUAUAAGUGAAUUCUGGCGAGAGCAGUUUUUGGGGUGUUGGUUUUGUUGAAGGAAAGACCAACUUUUGCUCUUAUACUCAGACUUCCAUUUAAUAUCUUCAGACACUGGCAAUACCUCAUGCUCUAGGAUGCAUGAAACACGUCAAAGUUCUGCUAUCAUCUUUGAUGUACGUACUCAUUAUUUUUUUCCUCUACUGCACUAGAACCUGUAUCCAGACACGUGGAGGAGCAAGGGCUGGAAUUUCUUCAAUUUGCUUUCCGGUGGUUCAACUGUCUUUUAAUACGCGAGGUUUGCUUCUACAGAUCUCUUCUCUGUACUUGCUAUAGUUUCCUCUUUGUAAAAUAUAUUUGUGCGCAGUGCAUAAAGUUGACCAACUGUAAUCUUGAGGUUUACUUGAAUUGUGGUAGAAUAAUUCUAAACAGAUUUGGCCUGGACCUGUGCUUUUAUCAUUUAUUGCAAAGCUAAUGGAAAUUCUUUCUUUUUGCUGCUUAGAUUCCUUUCCAUCUCAUUUCUCGUCUGUGGGAUACCUAUCUUGCCGAAGGAGAUGCAUUGCCAGAUUUCCUUGUGUAUAUAUUUGCCAGUUUUCUUUUAACGGUAAGAUAGAAACUGUUACCACUGCAAACAUAUAGUUUCCUUGGUUUCAUUACGUAUUUGGAUGCAUUAGCUGUGAGCAUGUGAUAAGGAAGCGUGUACUUUUAUUUAUUUGUCCAUUAACAAGUUCGCUGUCCAGUUGGUAAAUGAUGGGGGGGUCGAGAGGCUAUCCUUCUUGACAGAUUUGGUUAUGGAAAAAAAUCUCAUCGUUUAUGAUAAUUUUGACUCUUUAUAUAAGGUUUUAAAGACCUUUUGAAUUGCAUUCAUGGCAUGCAACACGUUCAUCACUGAAAUGCACUGUAGAUUACUUUCCAUUUAACAGAAAUGGUGGACAUAAAUGCAUUCUUGCUCACCAAUCAAGUAUCACUAUGCACAAGGUAGCCUUAUAUAUAUCAUUAGCUUUUUUGCUAUAUUUCCUGGCCCAUGUUUACCAUUUCUCCAGGGUUUUUCUGUACUUGUAUACCUUAUGGGGUGGUAACUACUUUUGGGUGGUGGUUCUAUUGAGAUCCCUUAUUGGUCCACUAAUUGUUUUACUUUGUUUUUAUUCUCUCAACUUCAAAUUUUACCUUUGAAUAAAACUACAACACUUUUCCUUUUUGAAUAAAUUGUAGAUUCAUAUAGAAUGACUUUUGUUCCUUUGUUACUUUUCUUUUGCUCGAGUCAAUUUGACAGCUGAUAAUCUGAAAGGCUAUUUUCUGUGUUAUUUGGCUAUAUAUUCCUUUAUAUUCUUGCUGUAAAGCCAUGGUCUGCUUAAACUGCUCUAAAUUUUUCGUUCAUAACAGAAUUGAUGCCAAUAACUUGAAAUCCACUAUGAUUUGAUAUGCAGUGGUCAGAUGAGCUUCUGAAGCUUGAUUUCCAAGAGUUGGUUAUGUUUCUUCAACACCUUCCCACUAAUAACUGGACUCACCAAGAGCUGGAGAUGGUGCUUUCAAGAGCUUUCAUGUGGCACAGUAUGUUCAAAAGCUCUCCUAGACAUUUGGCCAGCUAAAAAAGGAAUUUGUAAUAUUCAUUAUCUACCGUCAUCUCUGAAUUUUGGCUUUUUUUUUUCUAUUUAUAAUUUUCCGUUUUGUUGUUCUUGAUGUCGUUUACUACAAUUUUUUUCUCAUAUGGUGGAGGCCCCUGGCACCUUGCCCAUAUUAUAUGUAUCAGGUGUCUCUAAUAUUUGUAUUUGCAAGCAUUUCUUUGUAGAUUUGCCUUUGAGCAAUGGAGGAAAAGAAAAAACAGACUUUGUAUUGAUUUGUUCUUACUUCAUUGAACAGAGCCGACGGAACCCGUAAUCGAAGACAUUUCUCGUAAUUGUUAUUAAUGUUGACCACAAAGUCCGGGUACAAUUUCUUCAGCCACCCAUCUGAAGGUGCUGCCAUGGAAGCUGAUGGCUUAGCAAGUUUUUCUUUUUUGAAAUAUUAACAUAUAACUAUAGGUAAUUUUAGAGAGUAACAAAAUUGUAAAUAAAACAAUUUAAAGGUACGUGGGUGGCAUGAGUAGUUUAUUGGGUGACAGUACCGUCACUCUUUCUUAAAAAGAAAAGAAAAUGAUGGCAUGGAGGCCCAAUCGAACAUAGAGUGCUCUUAAGGCCCAGGUUUUAGUGGUUGAGCUGGAACAAACCAACCCUUUAACCACCUUUCUUGUUUCGGUCAUUUACUUUGUGUUGUACACCGUUUUGAGGUUAGGGGAUACUAAAUUAAACAAAAGCCAUUGUUUAGUACAACACACACUCAUAUUGGAAAUAGGGUGACAACCAAACUAAUUUUUUACUUGAUACAAAAUCCCUAAUUUUAAUUAUAUACUCCAUCAUUUUACAUUUUAUAUUAACUAUCUACUCAUUAUCGAUCCUAGCAAAAAAAUUGAACGAAAUGUACUUUAUUAAAAAUACUCAUUAAGAUUUUGAACGGUGCAAAAUUUAGAGUUUAAGUACGAUAAUAAGAGAUGUUGAAAGGGUAGCAAUGAUGGUGAGAAAGGGAAAGAAGAAAAUUACAAAGAAAGAAAGGGGCACUUUAAAAUUUGGUUAAGAAAAGUAUGAUUGUAUUAAUAAGACAAUAGCCUCAAAGAAGAUUGAGAGGAGGAGGAGGGGACUCUAUUUUCAAAGGAAAGUUUAAAGAGAGUUAUUAUUCACACUUUACAAAAGUCAUCGUGCACUCAUUCCUUACAUAAAUAUAAAAUAGAAAUUGCAAAUGGAGGAGAGCAAGAUGUCUUUUUUAAAAGUGAUAAUAACAAUUCCCAAUUUACAUUACAAGUAGACAACAUAGAAUUAGAAUUAUCAACAAAGGACCCAUUACUGUUGUGGUUUGGAGCAAUUGUUCCUUCCGGGAAAGCUUUGGAUUCGAGUCCUAGCAUUAGUAUAAUAUAUGUGAAUUUAAUAUGCUAUCACCCCUCUUAAUAGAAAGGUCUUGAAAAAAAAUUGGCAAAAUAUAUUGUUUCUAUACAUAAGUAUUUGUAUACACAUCCUUUAUAUAAGAAAUGACAAAAUAAUGGAGUUUUAUUGCCUGCCAAUCUUAUCUAUUGCGUUGUUAGAUUUUCAAUUUAGGGCAUUAUUUAAUUACAAAUCUACUUGCUAAUCUUAUCUUAUUGCGUUGUUAGAUUCCAAUAUAAGAGAUAUUUAAUUAAAAAUCUGUUUAGUUGAGCUACAGUCUCGCAACAUAACAUGUUAGAUUUUCUUGUAAGUAAAUAUGUUUCUUUACAGUUCAAAGAAAGGAGCCUUUUUGUGAUUUUUCUAUUUUAUUUUUUCUUAUUCAAAUAAAAUCUUUAAUUUAGGAGUUGAGUUUAUCUAUGCCACCACCACAAGAACCAUGACAAAUAAGGAAAUCAAAAUGUCUAAUCCACAUCACCUUUGAACCUUGAUAAGCCACACCACACAUGACACACGACAAUAAAUUCCCAAUAAAACCGUUAGGUCGGUAGGAUGACGCCACGUGUGAACCUUCAAUAUGGCAGAAGAUCAACGACAGCCAAUGCACGAAACGUACGUAGCUAUAUCAUAUUUGACACGCAUAAAGGCUCCUGCAACGGUAAGAAAAACAAGGCCUUAUGGGCAAGUCUUUAUAACGCAGGCCCCUUACCAGCUUUUGUUUCCAUCUUCUCUCUCUCCUUUCCCUACUUUCUUUCUCUGCGGAGAUCUUCUUCUUUCUUUGGUGCUUGUGCAUCUAAAUCUCUAUCCCUUUCACUUUCACUGCUUAUAUAUAUACAUAUAUAUAUAUACAUACAGGGCAACAGAAACAGUGAGGCUGAUCAUCUUGUUUUCUGAUUUGUUUGUUUUCAUUCUUCUCUCAUGGAGUUUGGGAGAUUUGCUUGGCUUGUGUUGCUGGUUUGCUUUGGCUUGUGUUUCUCUUCCACACAAGGAAACAGAUUCUAUGUUGGUGGGAAAGAUGGGUGGGUCUUGAACCCCUCUGAUAACUACAUCCACUGGUCUGGGAGGAACAGGUUCCAGGUCAAUGACACUCUAUGUAAGAUGCUCAAAUCUCUCUCUCUCUCUCUCUCUCUCUCUCUCUCUCUCUCUAAUAUUUUAUAGGUUCUUCGUUUUUGAUCAUUUUCUGAGUCUGAUCCUCUUUAGAUGUCUUUUUGUUCGUAUUGUGCUUAGUCUAAAAUUACAUUUAAACUCUCAAACUGAAAACAACGUUGUUUCAGACAUAUAUCAGAAGAGAAAAUGACACUUUGUGUUAGAUGCGCAAAUAUCUGGCUAUUUCCUGAUAUCGAGCUUAUGCCUAAAACGAAGACAUAGUAGGACAAAAAAUUUAGAACAUAAAUUAGAGAUCCUAUAUUUCUGCUUAAUUUUUUGGAUUAGUUUGGAAAUUUAUAAUUGUUUGUUCGAAUGCAUGUGACACAUACAGAUUUCAAGUACAAGAAAGGAACAGACUCAGUGCUUGUGGUGAACAAGGAUGACUUCUUCAAGUGCAACACCAAGAACCCAAUUCAGAAGCUAGAUGGUGGUGACUCAGAGUUCACUUUGGAUAGGUCUGGGCCAUUCUACUUCAUCAGUGGGCAAAAUGGUAAUUGUGACAAGGGCCAGAAACUCUUCAUAGUUGUCUUGGCUGUUAGGCAUCACAACAAACCAAACCCUCCUGUUGCUCCCACAACUCCCCCUAGCACCAGCCCUACCUCCCCAUCCCCCAAAUCUCCAUCUCCUCAGUACCCUCAUCACCCUCCUGGGACCUCACCAUCACCAGCAUCAGUGGCUAACCCUCCAGCCACCUCACCAUCACCAGUAGUGGCUAGCCCUCCUGCCACCUCCCCAUCACCAGUGGGCUACCCUCCUGCCACCUCCCCAUCGCCAGUGGGCUACCCUCCUGCCACCUCACCAUCACCAGUGGGCUACCCUCCUGCCACCUCACCAUCACCAGUGGGAUACACUCCUGCCACCUCACCAUCCCCAUCAACAACAACAUCUCCAGCGCUAGCGCCAGGUCCAUCUUCAUCCCUUACACCAUUUCCUUCUCCACCCUCACCGCCCCCCGAGGGGCCCACACCGCCCUCCGAGGGGCCCACACCGGCCCCGUCCGCAGAGUCUGCGGGCCCCACACCACCGGGAACCGUUUCUCCGCCGCCCGGGACAGCGGACUCGACGGCUCCGAGACCGGCGGGGAGUGGAGCGUCGCAUAGUGUAACGGCUCCUUCGAGCGUGCUGGUGUCU
rnacentral:lncRNA from 1 species